GCGCAAGCCUGAUCCAGCAAUGCCGCGUGUGUGAAGAAGGCCUUCGGGUUGUAAAGCACUUUAAGCAGGGAAGAAAAAAUUUCACCUAAUACGUGAAGUCUUGACGGUACCUGAAGAAUAAGCACCGGCUAACUCUGUGCCAGCAGCCGCGGUAAUACAGAGGGUGCGAGCGUUAAUCGGAUUUACUGGGCGUAAAGCGUGUGUAGGUGGUUAUUCAAGUCGGUUGUGAAAUCCCUGGGCUCAACCUGGGAACUGCUUCCGAGACUGAAUGACUAGAGUACGGUAGAGGGUGGUGGAAUUUCCGGUGUAGCGGUGAAAUGCGUAGAUAUCGGAAGGAACAUCAAUGGCGAGGCAGCCACCUGGGCCUGUACUGACACUGAGACACGAAAGCGUGGGGAUCAAACAGGAUUAGAUACCCUGGUAGUCCACGCCGUAAACGAUGAGAACUUGACGUCGGUUUGCUCUGCAAGUCGGUGUCGUAGCUAACGCGAUAAGUUCUCCGCCUGGGGAGUACGGCCGCAAGGUUGAAACUCAAAGGAAUUGAAGG
rnacentral:rRNA from 1 species